AGCGGGGUGGGCAAGUGGUUAAGCCGCCGGGCUCAUGAUUCGGAGGACGAUGGUUCGAAUCCAUCCCCCGCUA
rnacentral:tRNA from 1 species